rnacentral:rRNA from 1 species
UACGUAGGGGGCUAGCGUUGUCCGGAAUCAUUGGGCGUAAAGCGCGUGUAGGCGGUUCGGUAAGUCCGCUGUGAAAGUCGGGGGCUCAACCCUCGGAUGCCGGUGGAUACUGUCGGACUAGAGUACGGAAGAGGCGAGUGGAAUUCCUGGUGUAGCGGUGAAAUGCGCAGAUAUCAGGAGGAACACCGAUGGCGAAGGCAGGUCUCUGGGCCGAUACUGACGCUGAGGAGCGAAAGCGUGGGGAGCGAACAGGG